rnacentral:tRNA from 1 species
AUAAAGGUGGCAGAUUAGUGCAUUAGGUUUAAGCCCUAAAUAUAAAAAGUUUUUUUUUCUUUAUA